rnacentral:rRNA from 1 species
ACCCUAUGGACGGGAAUAACCUCGGGAAACUGAGAAUAAUGCCCGAUAGAACAUUAUGCCUGGAAUGGUUUAUGUUUCAAAUGAUUUAUCGCCAUAGGAUGGGACUGCGGCCUAUCAGUUUGUUGGUGAGGUAAUGGCCCACCAAGACUAUUUACAGGUACGGGCUCUGAGAGGAGUAGCCCGGAGAUGGGUACUGAGACACGGACCCAGGCCCUAUGGGGCGCAGCAGGCGAGAAAACUUUGCAAUGUGCGAAAGCACGACAAGGUUAAUCCGAGUGGUUUCUGCUAAAGAAACCUUUUGUCAGUCCUAGAAACACUAACGAAUAAGGGGUGGGCAAGUUCUGGUGUCAGCCGCCGCGGUAAAACCAGCACCUCAAGUGGUCAGGAUGAUUAUUGGGCCUAAAGCAUCCGUAGCUCGUUUUGUAAGUUUUCGGUUAAAUCCAUGCGCUUAACGUAUGGGCUGCCGGGAAUACUGCAUAACCAGGAAGUGGGAGAGGUAGACGGUACUCGGGAGGAAGGGGUAAAAUCCUUUGAUCUCUUGAUGACCACCUGUGGCGAAGGCGGUCUGCCAGAACACGUUCGACGGUGAGGGAUGAAAGCUGGGGGAGCAAACCGGAUUAGAUACCCGGGUAGUCCCAGCUGUAAACUAUGCAAACUCAGUGAUGCAUUGGCUUAUGGCCAAUGCAGUGCUGCAGGGAAGCCGUUAAGUUUGCCGCCUGGAA